rnacentral:rRNA from 1 species
GAGUGGCGGACUGGUGAGUAACGCGUGGGUGACCUACCCUUGAGAUGGGGAUAGCCAUUAGAAAUAGUGGAUAAUACCGAAUACGCUCAUAACCUCUUGGGGAUAUGAGGAAAUCAGGCUACGGCCUGGCUCGAGGAUGGGCCCGCGUCCCAUUAGCUAGUUGGUGAGGUAAGAGCCCACCAAGGCGACGAUGGGUAUCCGGCCUGAGAGGGUGUACGGACACAUUGGGACUGAGAUACGGCCCAAACUCCUACGGGAGGCAGCAGCUAAGAAUAUUCCGCAAUGGACGAAAGUCUGACGGAGCGACGCCGCGUGGAUGAAGAAGGCCGUGAGGUUGUAAAAUCCUUUUGUCGAUGAAGAAUAAGUAUGGUAGGGAAUGACCGUAUGAUGACAUUAGUCGAUGAAUAAGCCCCGGCUAAUUACGUGCCAGCAGCCGCGGUAACACGUAAGGGGCAAGCGUUGUUCGGAAUUAUUGGGCGUAAAGGGCAUGUAGGCGGUUUGGUAAGCCUGGUGUGAAAGGCUGCAGCUUAACUGUAGCAUUGCAUUGGGUACUGCUAGACUUGAAUCACGGAGGGGAAACUAGAAUUCCAGGUGUAGGGGUGGAAUCUGUAGAUAUCUGGAAGAAUACCGGUGGCGAAGGCCGGUUUCUGGCCGAUGAUUGACGCUGAGGUGCGAAAGUGCGGGGGAGCAAACAGGAUUAGAU